rnacentral:lncRNA from 1 species
AUGAACCUCGUGGGCGGGGCCGGCGGUGACGCGCGCGUUCGGGGCGCGGCGUGGCGGGGCGUGGCGGCGGUGACGCGCGCGGUGACGCGCCGUGCCGGAAGCGGCGGGGGCGCUGGUUGGUCGGCGGAGCGGCCGGGGGGGAGGGGGCCGCCCCGCGCUUGUUGUUGUCCGCGGGACCUGGCGCUCAGGGAGGCACCGAGCCCCAGCAGCGCCCCCCGCCGCCGCCCCCCGCCCCACGACGCCGCCGCCGCCCCCCCACGACACGGGCGCGCGCGCGCUCCCGCCGACACGCAGGUGAGCACCGGGCGCGGGCACGGCGGGGGGGGGGGGCGGGGGGGUGGGGGGGGGCCGCGCGGUUCUGCCUCCGCCAACACUAUAGAGAUCGGGGAGGAGGGAGAGGAGGUUCAGGGGGGGGUUGGAGGUGUUGUGAGGAUGGGGGAACCGGCGCGGUGCCGUUCGGGUGGGGUCGAACCCGAGCGGAAAGUGCUGAGUCACCACCGCGCCGGCACGUGGGGCCGCCGCCCCGCGCAGCACCGGGCCCGGCGGCACGUGGCGCCGUUCUACACCCCCCACCUUCCCCGAAAGAAAGUUGCCGCGAGUCGGGGCUGCUGCUCCGUGCUGCCUUUGGAGCUCAGAGCGAGGCGUAAAAUAGAGCGGGGUCAACCUGUUGUUGGUUGGAAAUACCGCGCAGUGCCGCGCAUGGAGGCUCAGAGCGCGACCCGGCCCACGGCCACGCGCGGCGCUGCUUCCUGCGGGGAGCGAUGGGGGCAGCGCCGUGUCCCGCCGCCUCCUCGUGUUGAGCCGCCGUCGCGCGGGACGGCCGGGGGUUUUGUUAUGAUGGUGAUGAGUGUCGUUAUUGCUCGGAAACGGGGCUGCGGGAAAAGCCGUUCCGAGCUCCUCGUGGAGGUGGGGAAGGUCAGAGCCGGAGAGCGGCGUGGGGACAGCGGGGAGAGGAACCGAGAGCGGAGCUGCAGGACGGCCGCCCUCCUCCCGCUGCUCUCCCGCGGGGCUGUCCCAGAGCUGCACCAAAAGCAGGCCACCAGGUCCCGAAUUGGGAACGGGCCCGUUGGGCAGCGCUGUCACAGAAAGCUACAGGGCCUUUCUAUUGCUGUCACCUGCCUUCUGAGUUCCAACAGCCCCGAGCAGGGCUGGGAACGGGCACAGCCGUCGGGAGGGAUGUGCUGGAAGGCAGCUCCGUGCCAUCGCUGA